rnacentral:rRNA from 1 species
CCACCAGGUCGAGUUGUAAUUUGUAGAUUGUAUCUUGAGAGCGGAUUAAAGUCUGUUGGAACACAGCGCCUUAGAGGGUGACAGCCCCGUAAAAUCUAUUCUCAUUGUAAGAUACUUUCGAAGAGUCGAGUUGUUUGGGAAUGCAGCUCUAAGUGGGAGGUAAAUUCCUUCUAAAGCUAAAUAUUGACGAGAGACCGAUAGCGAACAAGUACUGUGAAGGAAAGAUGAAAAGCACUUUGAAAAGAGAGUGAAAAAGUACGUGAAAUUGUUAAAAGGGAAGGGUAUUGAAUCA